CCUACGGGUGGCAGCAGUGAGGAAUAUUGGUCAAUGGACGAGAGCCUGAACCAGCCAAGUAGCGUGAAGGAUGACGGCCCUAUGGGUUGUAAACUUCUUUUAUAGGGGAGUAAAGUACGGCAUGUGUGCUGUUUUGUAUGUACCUUAUGAAGAAGGAUCGGCUAACUCCGUGCCAGUAGCCGCGGUAAUACGGAGGAUCCGAGCGUUAUCCGGAUUUAUUGGGUUUAAAGGGAGCGUAGGCGGAAGGUUAAGUCAGUUGUGAAAGUUUGCGGCUCAACCGUAGAAUUGCAGUUGAUACUGGUUGUCUUGAGUGCAGUAGAGGUAGGCGGAAUUCGUGGUGUAGCGGUGAAAUGCUUAGAUAUCACGAAGAACUCCGAUUGCGAAGGCAGCUUACUGGACUGCAACUGACGCUGAUGCUCGAAAGUGUGGGUAUCAAACAGGAUUAGAUACCCCAGUAGUC
rnacentral:rRNA from 1 species